CUGAGUGCGGAGUGAGUGUUUAGGCUAGAAUUUUGGUUUCGUUGGCCAUGACAAGCUCCUCGUAUCUAAUUUUGCACCUGAUCGUGCGGAGGAAAACGAUUCAUCAGAAAUACUUCGGGGACAAACGAAGUUCAAGGAGCGUAAUAUUAGCCAUAAGGAAUAUCCUCCGAGAAAAAGGCCAGUUUUAUCUGGGCGAUUACGCUAUAUAAAUUAAGGUCAACUGAUCCUCAAGUGUUCUGAGUCGUUGAAAUCGUUCAAGAGUCAAGAGAUGUUAAAUUCAAAUUAAAAAAUAAUUUUCGCGUAAUACAAGAGCAACCAGGCUGAAAAAUCGGUUCUUCAUUGAUCUCUGUUGACCAAUAGGAAAAAGAACUUGUGCUUCUUGACUUGACAGUGACACAAACGCAGGAGCAGGCGCCUAGUCGGGAAUUGUUUCAAAAUGAUGCGUGCAAAAAAUACAU